UACGUAGGUGGCAAGCGUUGUCCGGAAUUAUUGGGCGUAAAGGGCGCGCAGGUGGUGGGCUAAGUCUGUCGUGAAAUCUCCCGGCUCAACUGGGAGGCUGCGGUGGAGACUGGUGCACUGGAGGGACCUAGAGGCCGGUGGAAUUCCCGGUGUAGUGGUGAAAUGCGUAGAGAUCGGGAGGAACACCAGUGGCGAAGGCGGCCGGCUGGGGGUACCCUGACGCUGAGGCGCGAAAGCGUGGGGAGCGAACCG
rnacentral:rRNA from 1 species